UACGUAGGUGACAAGCGUUGUCCGGAUUUACUGGGCGUAAAGAGCGCGCAGGCGGUCGUUCAAGUCGAGUGUGAAAGCCCCCGGCUCAACUGGGGAGGGUCAUUCGAUACUGAUCGACUCGAAGGCAGGAGAGGGUAGUGGAAUUCCCGGUGUAGUGGUGAAAUGCGUAGAUAUCGGGAGGAACACCAGUGGCGAAGGCGGUUCUCUGGGCCUGACCUGACGCUGAGGAGCGAAAGCGUGGGGAGCGAACAGG
rnacentral:rRNA from 1 species